rnacentral:rRNA from 1 species
UACGUAGGCAGCGAGCGUUGUUCGGAAUUACUGGGCGUAAAGAGUGUGUAGGCGGUGUUCCCAGUCUGUUGUGAAAUCUCCCGGCUUAACUGGGAGGGUGCAGCGGAAACUAGAAUGCUAGAGGGUGGGAGAGGUAAGCGGAAUUCCUGGGUGUAGCGGUGAAAUGCGUAGAUAUCAGGAGGAACACCUGUGGUGUAGACAGCUUACUGGACCACUUCUGACGCUGAGACACGAAAGCGUGGGUAGCAAACAGG